AUUGAACGCUGGCGGCAUGCCUUACACAUGCAAGUCGAACGGUAACGGGCCUUCGGGUGCCGACGAGUGGCGAACGGGUGAGUAAUGUAUCGGAACGUACCUUUCAGUGGGGGAUAACGUAGCGAAAGUUACGCUAAUACCGCAUAUUCUGUGAUCAGGAAAGCAGGGGAUCGCAAGACCUUGCGCUGAUUGAGCGGCCGAUAUCAGAUUAGCUAGUUGGUGAGGUAAAAGCUCACCAAGGCGACGAUCUGUAGCGGGUCUGAGAGGAUGAUCCGCCACACUGGAACUGAGACACGGUCCAGACUCCUACGGGAGGCAGCAGUGGGGAAUUUUGGACAAUGGGGGCAACCCUGAUCCAGCCAUGCCGCGUGAGUGAAGAAGGCCUUCGGGUUGUAAAGCUCUUUCGGCCGGGAAGAAAUCGUAUCAGCUAAUACCUGGUGCGGAUGACGGUACCGGCAUAAGAAGCACCGGCUAACUACGUGCCAGCCGCCGCAGUAAAAC
rnacentral:rRNA from 1 species